CGCAUCUGUGCAUGCAGCAUAUCAAUAAGCGGAGGAAAAGAAACUAACAAGGAUUCCCCUAGUAACGGCGAGUGAAGCGGGAAGAGCUCAAAUUUGAAAUCUUAAAGGGUUUCCCUUUACGAAUUGUAGUUUAAAGAAGUGUUUUCUGUUGAGGUUUUGGUAAAAGUUCUUUGGAAUAGGACAUCAUAGAGGGUGAGAAUCCCGUAUUUGACCUUUACUUUCAACUUUGUGAUACACUUUCAAAGAGUCGGAUUGUUUGGGAAUGCAGUCCAAAAUGGGUGGUAAAUUUCAUCUAAAGCUAAAUAUUGGCGAGAGACCGAUAGCGAACAAGUACCGCGAGGGAAAGAUGAAAAGAACUUUGAAAAGAGAGUUAAACAGUACGUGAAAUUGUCAAAAGGGAAGCGUUUGACACCAGUGUUGUUUUUCUGAAAAUCAAUUAAAGAACUGUUUAUGCUAAGUUGUUUAGACUUUAUCAGCUAACUGUUUAGUUUUGAGCUUUUCUUUAAUGCACUUUUCAGUUAACAAGUCAACAUCAAUUUCUUUUGCUGUAAAAAAGCUUGAGGAAGGUGGCUUGAGAUUCGUCUUAAGUGUUUAUAGCCUCUUGCCUAUGCAGUCGGAGAGAUUGAGGUCUGCAGCGUAGAUCCUUCGGGGCUAAAUGCAUUUGUGCUAAGUUAUAGCAUUUUAUAGACAACUUGUUGACUAUGAUUUGUCUUGUAGCUUACUCGCUUAUGUUAUUUUACCUACGCUUAGGAUGUUGACAGCAGUAUAGACUGU
rnacentral:rRNA from 1 species